AGCCCCUGCAGCCAGGUGAUCAUCCCGCGGCUCCCUAUGCCCUAGCGCCGGCAGACGACCGCCGCCCUGCGCCGCUGCCAACUCUUGACCCGAGCAGUGCUAUGAGCCGUGCCCUAGAUCUGUCCUUGUGUACCACUGCCGACCGCCGGAUCGGGCUGUUCCAGCCUCUCCACGCCGAGCCCUAGUUUCCCGGCGUCACUCCGAUCGUCCUCUGCCCUAGCACUGGUCUGCCAGCCGUCCAGUGCCAGCCGCCAGCUUGUUAUCGACCUGAGUCUCUGGUAUUAAGGUUUCCAGCAGCAGCUUCGUCGGGUUCUUGGUCAUCGCAGGCGAUUAGAGGAAGAGGGCGUUUCUUGAUUUCCAAUAGCUACCUCUGUUCCGACAGCAAGUUGUCUUUGCUAUGGAUUUGUUGGGCUGUGGAUUAAGGACUGUGACGCGAGAUGAGCAACUCGACGUUGGAUUUGGA